GGGGCCGGGGUCUCCGCCGGAGCAGGCCUCACCUCCAGCUCCGCUUGCAAGCAUGUUCCCUCGCCCAGGAACGGAGCCACCAUGUCGUCUGUGACGGGGAACUUGUCUGGGAUCCGCGUGCAGCGGCGAAUCAAGCCGGGAUUGACGCCGUUGAGAUACGUAGUGAGCACGAUGCACGGCGUUCCGGGCACUGCAGACGCAGAGAAGAAAUGAAACACACGUGGAGCUUACUGAAUAGCUGGGAAAGAAGUGAAAGAAACAGUAAACAAGAAUUUGUUCACUAUAA